GACGAACCGAGCGAACGUUGUUCGGAAUCACUGGGCUUAAAGGGCGCGUAGGCGGGCUGCCGCGUCCGGGGUGAAAUCCUCCGGCUCAACCGGGGAAGGGCCUCGGGUACGGGCGGCCUCGAGGGGGGUAGGGGCGUGCGGAACUGUGGGUGGAGCGGUGAAAUGCAUUGAGAUCGGAAAGAACACCAACGGCGAAAGCACUCUGCUGGGCCGACACUGACACUGAGAGACGAAAGCUAGGGGAGCAAAUGGG
rnacentral:rRNA from 1 species